rnacentral:rRNA from 1 species
UGGGGAAUAUUGGACAAUGGGCGAAAGCCUGAUCCAGCCACGCCGCGUGAGUGAUGAAGGCCUUCGGGUCGUAAAGCUCUGUGGGGAGGGACGAACGAACGGUCGAAGAGACCGGAAUGACGGUACCUCCUUAGCAAGCACCGGCUAACUUCGUGCCAGCAGCCGCGGUAACACGGGGGGAGCAAGCGUUGUUCGGAUUCAUUGGGCGUAAAGAGCUCGUAGGCCGCUCUGUAAGUCGGAAGUGAAAGACCACGGCUCAACCGUGGAAACGCUUUCGAAACUGUGGAGCUUGAGGCCGGGAGAGGAGAUCGGAAUUCCUGGUGUAGCGGUGAAAUGCGUAGAUAUCAGGAGGAACAUCCGUGGCGAAGGCGGAUCUCUGGACCGGUUCUGACGCUGAGGAGCGAAAGCUAGGGGAGCAAACAGGAUUAGAUACCCACGUAGUCCCUGAGCGGGCUGGCAAGGCGCAU